CUUGGCUAGUUUGCUUUGAUGAAUCAUGGCAGCUGAAUCUGUCUUUCAGAUCUUCGGGAUGAUGAGAAGUUCCUUCUAGACCACCCUGGUGCAGUGCCCAUCACCACGGCUCAGGGGGAGGAACUAAGAAAACUUAUUGGCGCUCCUGUUUAUGUUGAGUGUAGUU